rnacentral:rRNA from 1 species
ACUAGUGAUUUNCAGGNUCCGCGGCCUGCUACGGCUCCUUGUNNCNACUUCNCCCCAGUCAUGAANUACUUACNGGGUAACCCGUCCCCCCGAAGGUUANACUANCUACUUCUGGAGCAACCCACUCCCAUGGUGUGACGGGCAGNUGUGUACAAGGCCCGGGAACNUAUUCACCGNGACAUUCUGAUUCACGAUUACUAGCGAUUCCGACUUCNCNCAGUCGAGUUGCAGACUGCGAUCCGGACUACAUCGGUUUUAUGGGAUUAGCUCCACCUCGCGGUUUGGCAACCCUUUGUACCGACCAUUGUAGCACGUGUGUAGCCCAGGCCGUAAGGGCCAUAUGACUUGACGUCAUCCCCACCUUCCUCCGGUUUGCACCGGCAGUCUCUUAGAGUGCCCACCUUUCGUGCUGGACUAAGACAAGGGUUGCGCUCGUACGGGACU